GUAUGGGGAUCUGCCCGAUAGAGGGGAAUAACUACUGGAAACAGUGGCUAAUACCGCAUAAUGUCUACGGACCAAAGCAGGGGCUCUUCGGACCUUGCACUAUCGGAUGAACCCAUAUGGGAUUAGCUAGUAGGUGGGGUAAAGGCUCACCUAGGCGACGAUCUCUAGCUGGUCUGAGAGGAUGAUCAGCCACACUGGGACUGAGACACGGCCCAG
rnacentral:rRNA from 1 species